rnacentral:tRNA from 1 species
GGGAAGGUGGCUCAGUGUAGAGCGCUUGCCUUGCAUGCAUGAGGCCCUUCCUC